rnacentral:rRNA from 1 species
CAGUCGACGCUUCUUUUUCCCCGGAGCUUGCUCCACCGGAAAAAGAAGAGUGGCGAACGGGUGAGUAACACGUGGGUAACCUGCCCAUCAGAAGGGGAUAACACUUGGAAACAGGUGCUAAUACCGUAUAACAAUCAAAACCGCAUGGUUUUGAUUUGAAAGGCGCUUUCGGGUGUCGCUGAUGGAUGGACCCGCGGUGCAUUAGCUAGUUGGUGAGGUAACGGCUCACCAAGGCCACGAUGCAUAGCCGACCUGAGAGGGUGAUCGGCCACAUUGGGACUGAGACACGGCCCAAACUCCUACGGGAGGCAGCAGUAGGGAAUCUUCGGCAAUGGACGAAAGUCUGACCGAGCAACGCCGCGUGAGUGAAGAAGGUUUUCGGAUCGUAAAACUCUGUUGUUAGAGAAGAACAAGGAUGAGAGUAACUGUUCAUCCCUUGACGGUAUCUAACCAGAAAGCCACGGCUAACUACGUGCCAGCAGCCGCGGUAAUACGUAGGUGGCAAGCGUUGUCCGGAUUUAUUGGGCGUAAAGCGAGCGCAGGCGGUUUCUUAAGUCUGAUGUGAAAGCCCCCGGCUCAACCGGGGAGGGUCAUUGGAAACUGGGAGACUUGAGUGCAGAAGAGGAGAGUGGAAUUCCAUGUGUAGCGGUGAAAUGCGUAGAUAUAUGGAGGAACACCAGUGGCGAAGGCGGCUCUCUGGUCUGUAACUGACGCUGAGGCUCGAAAGCGUGGGGAGCAAACAGGAUUAGAUACCCUGGUAGUCCACGCCGUAAACGAUGAGUGCUAAGUGUUGGAGGGUUUCCGCCCUUCAGUGCUGCAGCUAACGCAUUAAGCACUCCGCCUGGGGAGUACGACCGCAAGGUUGAAACUCAAAGGAAUUGACGGGGGCCCGCACAAGCGGUGGAGCAUGUGGUUUAAUUCGAAGCAACGCGAAGAACCUUACCAGGUCUUGACAUCCUUUGACCACUCUAGAGAUAGAGCUUCCCCUUCGGGGGCAAAGUGCCAGGUGGUGCAUGGUGGUCGUCAGCUCGUGUCGUGAGAUGUUGGGUUAAGUCCCGCAACGAGCGCAACCCUUAUUGUUAGUUGCCAUCAUUCAGUUG